AAAGAGCAGUCAAGACUUCAAAUCCCAGCAGCGCCUGUCUACGUUCGUGACGCAACCACGUACUGCUCUCGCGGGCUUGCCUGUGCAGUGGCGGUUCGUUUGGAAAAUCGACCAAUUCCCCUGUUGCCUUGUAUGUAACGCUGCACUGCCAAGAUCCUGUGAUGACGUCAUCUCCAGUGCAGCCGCACCCGGGUCAAAGUCCCUUCUCUGAUUGGAUGGGACACAGUUUAGCCACGCCUUGCAGCAGCGUCAGCUCCGCCCCUCGGCAGCUAGACUCCUCCUUCUGCUCGGAGUUCAGCCCCCUGCCCCCCUCCCCGCCUCGCCCACACACACACACACACACACCACCAAGCCCGGAGCAGAUGCUGAAACACACACACACACCACCAAGCCUGGAGGAGAUGCUGAAACACACACAGGACCUGCCUCUGCCCCUCAAACUCCAGCAGCUCAGGCAGUGGCAGCAGCACAUGCAAGAGCAGCUCAAGGCCCAUCAGAGGGACCAGCAAAGACUUCUGGGAAUGGAGCUGCCAGGUUCGUUAAUCACACACACACCUAUACACACACCUAUACACAAACAGCUAUACACAUACACACACACACACCUAUACACACACCUAUACACAAAGAGCUAUACACACACACACACACACCUAUACACACAC
rnacentral:lncRNA from 1 species